rnacentral:lncRNA from 1 species
AACAUACAAAUACGGCUCACACAAGGGUAAGCAAUAGCCACGAGUGAAAGAAAAGGAAACUAAACAUUCACUUGUACUAUGAUUUAUUUUUGAUCAUAUACAUUGCAUUCAUCUUCUACAUUUUCGAAUCCCUUACAUUUCAUUUCAUCAUUUCUUUCUUACAUCACAUUUACCUCAAAAGGGUUCUUUACAUUCUUCAUUUACAUCACUAAUCAUCAAGUACAAAAGAUGAUAAA